AUUUUCAUAGGCUACCCAUCUAAGUAACAAAAACAAUAACUUGUUAGAGUUCAUAUUUUACAUAUAAAAUGGUCACAUAUUUGGAUAAAUAUGCAUCAUACUGAAACUUUAAUUUGUUUUGCUAAUUAAAAUCUUAAUUUUUCUGAUUCUCUAUUAACCUUUCAAAGCAGAUGGGUUUGUCUAUAGGAGAAAUCAAAAUGGUAAGUCAGCAGAGAAAAGAGAACACUCACACACUGCUAUGGGAAUGUAUCAGUUUAUUAGCCACUGUGGAAAGCAGUUUGAAGAUUUCUCAAAUAACUAAAGAUAGAACUACUAUUGGACCCAGCAAUCCCAUUACUGGGUAUAUACCCAGGGGAAAACAAAUCAUUCUACCAAAAAGACAUUCACACAUGUAUUGUUUACUCCUGCACUAUUCACAAUAGAAAAAUGUGGAAUCAACCUAGGUGCUCAUCAAUUAAUGGUGCAUUGGAUAAAGAAAAUGUGGUACAUAUAAACCAUGGAAUACUAUACAGCCACAAAAAAGAAUGAAAUCAAGUCCUUUGCAGCAACCUGGAUACAGCUGAACGCCACUAUCCUAAGCGAAUUAACACAAACAGAAAACCAAAUGCCAAAUACUUAUGAGCAAGAACAUAUACUUAUGAGCAUGUUCUUGCUCAUAAGUGGGAGCUAAACCUUGGUUAUGCAUGGACAUAAAGAUAAAAAAAAAUAGGACCUGGGAACUACAAAAGGGGGCAGGAGGGAGGGGGGUUUGAAAAACUACCUAUUGCAUACUGUGCUCACUACUGGGGUGACGGAUUCAACCAUACCCCAAACUUCAGCAAAGCAUGCAAUAUGCCCACAACACAAACCUGCACAUGUACCCCCUGAAUCUAAAAUAAAAGUUGAAAAAACAAUUUAAUGUGAAAGAAAUGGCAAGCCUCAGAGUAUCCUGACAUGAACUUUUUGUUGUUCUCACUUUCCAAAUCCUAUUCCUUGAGAAAGCCACAAAGGUGUGCUGUUUCCCUAACUGUUCUAAGGAAACAAAAACAACGGGACUUUCAAGAAGAACCUAGUUCUUCUAAUAAACAAUCAAUAAACCCUUUCAUUCUCAACCUUAAAAUACUUUUGCAGAAAGAUCUUAGGAAACAGUGUCUGUUGCGCAACAAACCACACUGAAAAAGAAGUUAACAGAAUAAAUGCUUUUAAAAAAUGCAGAACUGAACUAAAAUAUUGUUUCAAACAGUGUUUCCAACAUCACAGAAAUAUGUAAUAAAGUUGAACAAACUCACAGAAAUACUAAAAAUAAAUCUCUUUUGGAAAUUUUUAUUUCUCUUUUAAGUGAUCUACACCCAGAUUGAAAAUCAACAAAACCAAUUUAAUCAUGCUAUUUCGUAUGCAAAGAUAAAGUCCUUGACGGGAAAAGGUUUUUCAGUCCUGUUAUAUUAAAGAGAUACUUAAUACUGUUAAAGACAUUAAGUAUCUCCUCAAUUAAUUCAUCACUCUCAUGAUCCUCUCAAAGCUUAAAGGAAUAACAUCUUUCAGAUAUUAUUAGAGUGAUCAGAACUUUGCAAAAUGUUUCUACAUCUGUUACCACAUUUAAUCUUCUAGGGAGGUACUGGUGUUGCCAUUUUACAGAUGGGAAAAACCUAAGACACAGGGAAGUGAAUUCAUUUACUAAGUGCCAGGAACUAGACUGGCACUAGAUAGAUAUACAACGAUGAAAAUGACAAAAUCCCUGUCCUCCAAAGUUCACAUUUGGGUAAGAAGCAUCACAUGGAAUUAUUUGUAGGUAUUUGUUUUGAAUGGGAAAUCACUUGUCCAGGGUGACACAAUCAACUGUUAGCCAGAACAUGAGUGAACCUGCCUGUCCUGAGGCUCACCAGGCUCUCCCAAAGUGCCAUGUGCCCUGUAAAGUUCCCUUACUAUCCAAAGGGCUGAUUUCAGCAAAAAUGAAAGUACAGUCAUUAUUAGAAUAUGGACAGCCAUCAAGGAGAAAAAGAAGACUACAAAAAUCUCCAGUGAGAAGUAGCUAUUACAGCCAACAUCUGUGCACUCACCCCCGGCCAUCCAAAUGGAGAAGCUGCUAUAACUACAGCCCCUAUCACCCCAACCCCCUGAUUUCAGAACCUCGCUAGCAAUUUUUAAAAACUGUUUUCUUUUUAAUUAUUAUUAUUAUUUUUUUAGUAGAGUCAAGAUUUCACUACGUUGGCCAGGCUGGUCUCGAACCUCUGACUUCAAGUGACCCGCCCGCCUCAACCUCGUAAAGUGCUAGGAUUACAGGCUUAAGCCAGCAUACCUAGCCUAAAAACCUAUUCAUUAUCAUUGAGAGGUGAGGAGAUAGGGGACUUGGCUCUACCUGCAGCCAUGACAUUAACUUUCAGAUAACUUUGAAGAAGUCACUUAACCUUUGUGAAAGUUCAUUUUGUUCAUUUUGUUUUGUGUUUUGAGAUGGAGUCUUGCUCUGUCACCAGACUGGAGUGCAAUGGUGCGAUCUCAGCUCACUGCAACCUCCACCUCCCAGGUUCAAGCAAUUCUCUUGCUUCAGUCUCCCGAGUAGCUGGGACUACAGGUGCGUGCCACCAUGCCCACCAAAUUUUUGUAUUUUUAGUAGAGAAAGGGUUUUACCAUGUUGGCUAGGAUGCUCUUGAUCUCUUGACCUCGUGAUCCACCUGCCUUGGCCUCCCAAAGUGCUGGGAUUACAGGCAUGAGCUACCGCGCCUGGCUGAAAGUUUGAAUUUUCAAGUGUAAGUAUGGGAGUAGGCCAAGGUCCCCGGGCUGACCAGGUGAUGCUGUCCAGCACACCAGUACCCACCUGUGCUGCCUCUGCCCACAGGGCCUUAGGCUUUACCCUCAGCAUGAAGGAAAGCAAAAGCAAAGCCAGAGCAGGAGCACUGCUAUGUAGAAAGAGUGUCUGCACAUCAAGAAAAUCUACUUCACAAAAACUAGAACUUAAAAAAAAAAAAAAAUGAACAAUUAGAGAAGAAGAGCCACAAGGAAAAAAUUGUUCUCAGCAGGGCUCCGGGUCCAUAACAAGUUAGAAAUCAGAGGGGUAAAGGCCUUUCUGUUUAACUUCAAGGUUUGGAGGGGAAGAAGACAGUGAGGAGGGAGACUGAAUGCCAAGGAGAGAAAGCGGCAACAUGGGUACCAUAUUUUUCUGUAAAACUCAACUACUUAUACCUGAUGAAUCACCCAUGAAUACGGUGGGGAGUGGAGGAGGGGAGAAACCUCAAAACCCAUAUCUGAGAUUCUCUGCUCUAUGAUCCGCAUCUGCUUACAGCUUAUACUUGAGGCUCUUCAGAAAAUCCCUCACUGUCCUUGUGCAGAUGUAUUCCGUACACAUGAAUCAACACUCCUCUGUUCAAAGACUGGGCUAAUGAUGAGUUUACUACCCAGGGGAUUUAUUACCCAUGUGAAGGUGAGCCUGCUGGGAGAUACUUUCAUGGAACAAGAACUUCAGAAGAGUUUUUUCCCCGACAUUGAGUGCCAUACUAAGAAAUAAAGAAGCAAGCUAAAAUACUCUAUUACCAAGAAAAAUAAAGCCAUUAAAAUACAAUAAUUUUCCUUUGAAACUAUGAAAAGUGAAUAGUCUUCCUCCACCAUCUUGGCACAUCUCAGCCUUCCUAUCCUAUAUUCCUCAAGCCUAUCUGCAAUGCUGCCUCCUCCACAGUCUUCCUCCGUGUCCAGACUGGAAAUUACUCUCUGCUGUGGAUUCCCAGAGCAUUUAAUCUCCACCUCUUUUGUAGCAAUUAUGUUUUAAAUAAAUAUUGUAACUUUUUUGAGGACAUCAUACAAUGCUUUGCACAUA